UCCCAGCGGUCCAAGUCGCAACCACGUUUAUUGGGUCUAAGACAUCCGUAGCUUGCUUUACAAGUCUCUUGUGAAAUCUGGCCUCUUAAGGGUCGGGCGUGCAAGAGAUACUGUUUAGCUAGAGACCGGGAGACGUUAUGAGUACUAUUAGGGUAGCGGUAAAAUGCGUUGAUCCUAACAGGACUAACAACAGCGAAGGCACGUAACGAGAACGGAUCUGACAGUGAGGGAUGAAGGCUAGGGGC
rnacentral:rRNA from 1 species